rnacentral:rRNA from 1 species
AUUGAACGCUGGCGGCAUGCUUUACACAUGCAAGUCGAACGGCAGCACGGACUUCGGUCUGGUGGCGAGUGGCGAACGGGUGAGUAAUACAUCGGAACGUGCCCAGUUGUGGGGGAUAACUACUCGAAAGAGUAGCUAAUACCGCAUGAGAACUGAGGUUGAAAGCAGGGGAUCGUAAGACCUUGCGCAACUGGAGCGGCCGAUGGCAGAUUAGGUAGUUGGUGGGAUAAAAGCUUACCAAGCCGACGAUCUGUAGCUGGUCUGAGAGGACGACCAGCCACACUGGGACUGAGACACGGCCGAGACUCCUACGGGAGGCAGCAGUGGGGAAUUUUGGACAAUGGGCGAAAGCCUGAUCCAGCAAUGCCGCGUGCAGGAUGAAGGCCUUCGGGUUGUAAACUGCUUUUGUACGGAACGAAAAGCUUCGGGCUAAUACCCUGGAGUCAUGACGGUACCGUAAGAAUAAGCACCGGCUAACUACGUGCCAGCAGCCGCGGUAACAC